UUGUCUUAUACAAUGGAGCAACAUAACUUGGCCGUUUUGGAAUAUCUGCCCUCUUACAGGGCUUUAGCCACAUCUGGAAGAAAAUACAUAACAUCUCUUUAAGUCAAGGCUGUUAAAUAUACAUGUAUUUGAGCCUACUAUUGAUUCUCAGAGUAAGGUUAUGUAUGCAAAUUUCUGUGGCCCAAACAGAUUUAUUUUCACCAGCGGUGCUGUGAUUGCUCAAAACAUUUUAUAGAACUCUCAUAACUGAGACAAAAUAGUUUUCGCCUACUCUGUCUAAAAGCAUAUUUUCCAACUAUUCAUCUCUCAACCACAAUUACCUGGGAAAUGACUUUUAGUACUUACAAUGAUAAAAAAAAAACCAGACAUACUUUCAAAGGAGAGAAUUGCCACACUGAUACUCAGAAUCAUGUGCCUUUAUAUUAAUUGAAAGCCAGUCUCAAAAAAUGCUGAAGGGAUUUUUAUCAACAACUGUAUGACUAGAAAACCUUCCCAUUUUAGGAGACUAUUAUAAAGGAGAUACUAUAUAUAUUAUGCUGUUUAAAAUAUAAUUGCAUUCCUUUAUAACCACAAUCUACACCCCAUUCUUUUUAGUCAUUAACCAAGUUCCUACAAUUUAUUAUUGGACCUCACCAAUCUUAAAAAUAAGAUUUUGAGGCAAUUUGAUCUUUGAAUGUAAGAGUAAGAACAAACCAUGUUCAUAAAGAUAUUUUAGAAUUUAAUUCAAUUUAUUUUUCUGGAGUAGAAGUAAUAGCAAUCCUCGAGAUGAUAGGACUUGACAGCCCCAAUGUUCAGACCCCUCUUUUAGGUUUCUCAGGUCAAAACACAGAUUGUUCAAGGAGCUUAUAAGGAUGCGAGUUUCUCUGUUUCUCCCACUUAAUUGUGGAAUCCAGGUUUUCAUAAGGGGGGGAUCCACAAGGCAGUUUCUGAAAUAUUAACUACAACGUAAGACUCAAAGCACUCUUCCGAACUCAGAUUUCAUUUCAACCCCAGGGGAUUUUUCUAAUGAGAAUUUUUAUUUCUAAGUAGCUCCUUAUUCAGGAGAACCAUUAUCAGUUUAUAUAUUAAUUUCUUUUUGCACACACUGCAAGCUACUUACGAGUUUCCAUGUGAAAGACUCAAUUUCGAUCAGCUCCUGAAAUUGCAUUUACUUGUCCUUGCAACUUUCAAUUUGGGUCUUGUAUUUUAAACUUUUGUGCCCAUGACAUUUAAAAAUAUAUGACAGCUUUCUCACAAUUGGCUGUCAGUUGACCCCUCACUGAUCGUGUUACAGCUGCUCUGAAGGGCUUUUUACCUGUCUUUGAGCUGCUGCCAGAAUCCUGCAAACAGAAUUCACAUAAAUCCCACUGCCUAUAUUUUAUCACAGCAUCCCAGACCUACCCUUCAAAAUGCUGUUUUCUUAAGCCAUUUUCUCAUGAUGCAGUUAUAGAGGGAAGCUUAAUUAUAUUUUAUAAAGCUUAAUCUGCCAAUGCUGGAGAUAGGUGCCUAGGAAAUGUAGCUUUUUAAGUUGAUGGUUUUCAAAAUCUUUUAAUAUGCAAGUUUCACAUUUUCGAGUCAGUGUAUGAAAAAAUAUAUAAUGAACACGUGUGUGUGAAUGUAUAUACAGUUGACCUCACUAUUUGUGGAUUCCACAUUUCCAAAUUUGCCUACUCACCAAAGUUUAUUUCUAAUCCUAAAAUCAUUUGGCAGCAUUGUCGUGCCCCUUGGUGGACAUUUGCAGAGCAUUAAAGAUUUGUGUCAUCCAACACACUCUCCCAGCUCAGGUUGAACCAGGAAGCUCCAUCCAGAAAUAAUCCAUGAAUGAAAACACCUAAAUAUAAAAGAAACACAUUAAUAUAAUACUUUAUAUAUGCAUUUUGAUUGCGUUCUGAAUCUGAAAUUUCUAAUGUAAGUACUAUGCAGGUGAUACUAGAUUUGCAGCCUAAGACUUGUUCUCCAAUGAAAGCAAUCUCCUGAGUGUUUUAACAUCCAUAUUUCAAGAACAUUGAAACUUUGCCUAGUGAAAUAAUGCAAUAGUAAAAUUAGGUGUGGAAAACGAAAGAGGAAAGAAAUUUUAAAUGAGUCUAUGGGAAGUUCUCAGUGUGUGUGAACAUUAUCAAAUUUACAUUGUUAAUUAGUCAAUAAUUAUACUGUGUUUUCAGAAGCUGUGAAAUCUAGGGGGGAAAAUAGUUCUUAAUAAAGGUAAUAGGGAUUGAGUGGUGGCUAGUGGGCAGCAUAUGAACAAAGUACCCUUCUGUAGAUCUCUAAUGUCGUAAGAAUUAUAUUGCUCCUCCCCUUUUAGAAUUUAUUCUUACUGCCAAGAGCUCUCCUUAGUCUGUUGAUGAUGAAAGACACAUGAUGAACUCCCUCUAGAAAGUGAUGUUGUACACUAACAGCUAAAGAGUACAAAUUAGGCAAUCAGUGAAACAUGAGUUACUUUCUUUGGCUUUACAUAUCAGUAAAGCCUCAUGGAUUGGAGUCUGAAGGUAAAAUUGAUUGUAACAGUACAGAUGUCAAGCAAUAAAGACUUUGAGAAGACCAAAGUUUUAGUUCCUAAUUUGUUGUGUAACCUUGAGCAAUUAAUCUAACCUCAAAACCUGUUUUGUCAUCUGGAGAACAACCUUAAAAACAUUUGUAAAAUAGUAAUAUCUGCUUUGUCCACCUUGUAGAGUUGUUAGAAUCAAAUCAGCUAAUAUAGGGGAAAAUGCCUUUGUAGAGUUGUAUAUGAAAAUCUACUUCAGCAGUGCUGUCCAAUAGGACUUUUUGCAAUGAUGGAAAUGUUCUAUGUGUUGUCCCAUAUGGUAGCCACUAGCUACAAGAGGCUGGUAUUAGUAAGUUGAACACUUGAAAUGUGGCUGGUGUGACCAAAUAACUGAAUUUUAAAUUUUAUUUUAAUUAUAGUUAAAUUUAAAUGGCCACAUGUGGAUAGUUUAAUGAUGGAGUUGGGGAAAGACCCUUUCUCUUCUCUGGGUUUUAACUGAUGGGAAGAAUACGUUGGAAUACAGUAUCAGUUCUAUUAAUUGACAAAGCACUUGUCCAAUAACUGCCAAUGUAUAACUCUGGUAAAGCUGGAUUGCAAAAUGGACCUUGAGCCCGGGGCAAUGGAGGGGUGGACCUGCGUGAGGGAAGAGAUGGGUCUGCAGAGCACAUUCUGCGUCUUUACCUCUGUGGCCAGCUCUAAGGCCAGUCCACCAGUCACCAAAACAGGUGGGGAUAGGGCAAGGAAGGAGAACUUUAUAGUAUGAAAUACAAUGGAAAAGAAAGAGAACCUAUACACAGGUCCAAGUGAGCUAUUUAAUACCCUCCCUGACUGACUCAAAAGCAUAGCCCAAUAAAUUUCUGCCUCUAACCAAUCAGACUAGUUAUUCCUCAUUUGGGAAGAGUGAUAAUAUCAUAGAAAGUAAACCAAAGAGUUCAUGUCAACACCUAGAAAAGUGGUGAUAGGGAUAAAAGUUCUUUCCAACCCAUCAAUUGUAUAGGAAAUAAGGUGAGAAUCUUUAAAUACAUUUUUAUUUCUCAUGGCUAGUAAGGACCAUAAAGAUAUAGAUAUAUCGAAUAUAUAGAAAAUGACAGAUGUUAACAGGUCCUUGUUCAUAGCUGUCCUGCUCUAUGAGUGAUGCCCUUUGCCAUCUGUGAGAUGUCAUCAGCACAUAGUGUCAGCUACAGUUUUUCCAGUUCCCCUCUCGUUCACUAUUUUCUGCCUCCCUUCAUGCUAUGCAAUGCUGUCAACUGGUGACUGAGUCACCUAGUAGUACCUAGCAAUUCAGAUCAGAGGAAGCUUAGGUAGUUGCAUCCAUAAUAUAGGAUCCUGUGACGAUUAAUAUUGUCAACUUGAUGGGAUUGAAGGAUGCAAAGUAUUGUUCCUGGGUGUGUCUGUGAGGGUGUUGCCAAAGGAGAUUAACAUUUGAGUCAAUUGAACUGGGAUAGGCAGACCCACCCUCAAUGUGGGUGGACACCAUCUAAUCAGCUUCCAGUGCAGCUAGAAUAAAGCAGGCAGAAGUUGGAAAGAGCAGACUUGCUAAGCCUUCCAGCCUUCAUCUUUCUCCCAUGCUGGAUGCUUCCCACCCUCAAACAUCAGCCUCCAGGUUCUCUGGGUUUUGGACUCUUGGACUUACUCUAGUGGUUUGCCAGGGGGUCUUGGGCCUGUGGCCACAGACUGAAGGCUGCACUGUCUGCUUCCCUACUUUUGAGGUUUUGGGACUCAGACUGACUGAUCCACUACUGGCUUCCUUGCCCCUUAACUUGCAUACAGCCUAUCCUGUGGGACUUUACCUUGUGAUCGUGUGAGUCAAUUCUCCUUAAUAAACUCCCUUCCAUAUAUACAUAUAUCCUAUUAGUUCUGUCCCUCUAGAGAACCCUCACUAAUACAGAUUUCAAAUACUAAAAAACUUUCAGCAGCAUUGUAGCCUUUAGGUGCCCCUUUUCAUUGUAUUUUAAUUUAAUCUUAAGUAUAUAAGGAUGACAUCUUUAUGAGGCCCAGAACCUAGAAACAGGAACAUACAAAAAUAUCUAUAAAGUAUGGUGAAGGGGUAGAGAUUGGAAAAAAAAGAAACUUGGCUUCUAUCCCAAGCUGUUCUCAGGUGUGAUUUAUGUCCCUCCCACUAGGGUCCUAUGAGAAAUUGAUUCCUUGGGGAAAAACCCAUUUAUCUAAAUCAUUCCAUGGAUUCUCUUUUUCUUUCUGAUAAUUAGCUAAGUAGGAAGGAAAAAACUAGAAUGAAAAAAGGCUAAUUUGUGGAUCUGUGUGCUUAUUGGUGAAAUGCAUAUGUGUGUGUUGGUAAGUGUAUAAAAUAAUAAAGUUUGAGAUUUUGCAGAAAUCUAUCAGCUAUUAUAAAUUAAGCCUGGGCCAACACUGGUAGUCAGUAAAACAGUUUAAUUAGCUGAUGACUGCUCUUCAGUGUAUGAUCUUGGAACACUAAAUGGGCUUUAUGGAUCCUUUAAUAAGUUGUGCUUUAUUUUUACUCCACUGUUUUCAAGAUAGUUUUGGAUUUUUAAUACUUGAUCUUCUUUAAUAAGAGCUUCUAUGGAUUAAAUUAGUAAAUCAACGUAAAAAGAAAUAUCAGCUACCCUGUAGAAUAAUUAUGUUCAGUAUAUAAUAACGGGCAACACAAUAGUUUGAUCUUGGGUAUUAGCUAGUUCAGAAGCUUUUGGCAAUGCUUAUAAAUUCAGUCUUUUAGCUGAGUUCAAAAACAUAUAACCCUUAAAAGACAUCAUCAGUGCUGCUCAAACUUCAACCCAAAUGCCACCUUCUGCCUAUUAUAAUAAUAUGAAAAGAACUAGAAAAAAAUUCAUGGAUCUAAAUUAAAUACUUAGGAAGUAACCAUCACUCCUUUAAGAAAAUAUUCCUUGAGAAAUGUGAUGUUUUCAAACUUCUAUCAAAAUACUCAGUAGGCCAUAGAGAAAACAGCUAAGCAUGAGAGCCAGAUGGCCUGGGUCUGAAUCUCAACUCUGUCCAUUAUUAGCUGUGAGACCUACAGCAAGUUACUUAACCCCCCUGAGCCUUAGUUUCCACCUUGUCUAAUGGCGGUAAUAGUAGUAUCUGAGCCACAGAGGUACUGUGAGGAUUCAGUGUAAUGGACCGGGCAGUCUCUGGAUCCCAGCAGUGGUACAGAGCAGCCCCAUGGUAAGUAUCUGUGCCCUUUCCUUGAUUUGCUUUUACCCAACUUAAACAUUCCUUUCCUCCAUUGCCAAAUACUUAAUUUGAGCCAAAUUAUUUAUCCUUCUGGUAUGUUGCUAAAUUUAUCUAACUAUACUUUUAAUUUUAUGAGGGCAGGGGCUCAAACUCAUAUUUAUUAGUGUCUUUUAUGACAUGUAAUAUAGUGAGCUGUAUGGGAAAAAAUUUUGUUAAAGCUUACAUUCAAUAAAUAACUUAGCAGAAGGUUGUUAAAUUUCCUUCUGUAUUUUAUUUAUUUAUUUUAAAAGCCUCUAGUGGGAUAAAGUUUCUUUUGAGUAUGUUAAGAAUAAAGAGAUUUUGAACAAAUAGUCAGAUUAAUGGUAGGUUAGGCAUCUGUGACUGAAAAAUAUUACUUCUAAGAUGUCUUAUGUCCCAAUGAUUCUUUAUUCCUUGCAUUCAUUGUUCUUAAAUGUGUUUCUGCAAUAAAACUGUUUAAGUAUUAGA